AGCUUGCUGCUUCGCUGACGAGUGGCGGACGGGUGAGUAAUGUCUGGGAAACUGCCUGAUGGAGGGGGAUAACUACUGGAAACGGUAGCUAAUACCGCAUAACGUCGCAAGACCAAAGAGGGGGACCUUCGGGCCUCUUGCCAUCGGAUGUGCCCAGAUGGGAUUAGCUAGUAGGUGGGGUAACGGCUCACCUAGGCGACGAUCCCUAGCUGGUCUGAGAGGAUGACCAGCCACACUGGAACUGAGACACGGUCCAGACUCCUACGGGAGGCAGCAGUGGGGAAUAUUGCACAAUGGGCGCAAGCCUGAUGCAGCCAUGCCGCGUGUAUGAAGAAGGCCUUCGGGUUGUAAAGUACUUUCAGCGGGGAGGAAGGGAGUAAAGUUAAUACCUUUGCUCAUUGACGUUACCCGCAGAAGAAGCACCGGCUAACUCCGUGCCAGCAGCCGCGGUAAUACGGAGGGUGCAAGCGUUAAUCGGAAUUACUGGGCGUAAAGCGCACGCAGGCGGUUUGUUAAGUCAGAUGUGAAAUCCCCGGGCUCAACCUGGGAACUGCAUCUGAUACUGGCAAGCUUGAGUCUCGUAGAGGGGGGUAGAAUUCCAGGUGUAGCGGUGAAAUGCGUAGAGAUCUGGAGGAAUA
rnacentral:rRNA from 1 species